rfam:Glossina pallidipes unplaced genomic scaffold Scaffold126, whole genome shotgun sequence.
GGAGGUAGUUUGAGUACGUAUGUGCCACAGAUGGCUAAUCGUGCAUACUGUGGGCCUGAUCUCGUAGUAUCUUGGGAAGAUUUCUAUCUCC